CUAUAAUGCGCUUUUUUAGGUGCUGCUGGUUAAAUCCAUCAGUUAAACGGGAAGUUUGUGCAAAGCAAAUGCUGCCCCCGCAACGGUAAUAGAGAAGACAAAUGAUCAUGCCAUUGGAAUUGAUUUCCGAGAAGGCCAUUUGAAAUUGCUCUUAAGCCCGGAGACCGGCCUGAAAAAGGUCAGCGAU
rnacentral:ncRNA from 2 species